UCAACUUUAAUGAUUCUAUUUUGUAGUUAAUGAAUAUGUGCUCACAUAGUUUUGCGUCAGGUGAUUUUUAAUAUAACGUCGAGAUGAUUCGUAUUAAUCGUAUGUAGCUCACAGAUUAUUCUUUUUUUUGUUUGAAUAUAAUAUCUACAUAUUUUUAACCACAAAGGAGAACUUUUAUCGAAGGACUAUGCAGUUCAAGACGGAGUCUACAGAUGAUUGCACACUCUCGAAGGAUUGAUGACCUCACUCAAUAAACGUUUUCACCAGAUUUUGUAGAAAUAAUCGAAUACCAUUGAAUUCCGUUGCCUGGGACUCGACGUUUUCCAGUAUGUAACCACUACAAAAUUAGGUAUACAAAUAGUUAAGCUAAGAAAUCAAAACGCGUCUUCAACUUUUGGUCUUAUCAUCUGAAGAUUUUAAUUCACCUUUCGUUUUCAUCUAAUUUACAUUACAGUAGUAUAUUUUUAUCUUUCGAGUGAUUUCUAGAAAAUCGUUCUAUAUUGUUUACGUGGAACUUGUCGCUUUCCGUCUUAUCGGGUUCAUCAUCAUCAUCAUCUCUUCUCUUUACCUUCUUCCUCUCUUUUAUAUUCCCCUUUUUACUUUUCUCUAUUUUAUUAUUCCCUUAUUUUUCAAUCCUCUCUCUUUAUUGUUGUUUGUUGACUCUAAGUAGCGUAGAAAGCACGCCCCGACGGCCAUAGUCAUCUUCGACGGGAAGAGGCUGCCUCUCGCCAGAAGGACGCCAUGCUGAACUCUAUCCGAAUAGACGUUCAUCUAUGCAUAAGGAAUAUAAGAACACGGCCAUCAGUCAAUAUCCGUAGAGACUAGGCGCGACGGCAGUAAUAUAUCUGAGCUAGCUGAAACAGCGACAGCUGCAACAGCGGUAUCGGUGCCUGUUAGAACAGAAUUGAAACGAAAUGGUCUGCAAUAAAUAGGUCGUCUGUACGUAGAAGAGGGAAACGGUGCCGUAUGAAUAAAAUCUGUAUAUGCCUUGCCGAUCAAAUGGUAUCUCAAAAAAAAAAGAACCUUUAUCCAAUAGUAAAAGUGUUUAUCUAAAGGUUACGUUGAUGUUAUCGCGCUCCCUAUGGUGUCAUUUAUAAGAAUAGUUAUUAUAGUUACUUUUGUUGCCUGUACGAUUGCCUCUGCCAGAUGCUACUGGUUGUUGUUCACGAUGUCAAUGGAUGGAUGAGCUAUUCAACUUUAUCGAUUUAUGAAAGGACAUCAGUGGACGCUGCCCUGCUUUUUGCGUGUGUAUAUUGAAAUUGUGGGCGGCGAUCGCUCAAACUGUUCUUUUAGUUACCGAAGACAGCAAAGUUGCCGCUUGGUGCACCUCUACGGUACACGAAUACGCAGAUAAAACUACCGAACUGUUUGGAUAAAUCUCUUAUAUUAUUUCCGCGUUUUUCCUAGUUGCUCAUCUGUUUCCCUCCUCUUUCUGUCGUUAAUCUUGAGAAGUCUCUGAAGUAGGCCAUAGUUGUGACCUUUUUCAUUUUUAUUAUCAUUUCAUGUUAAAGAAUGCGCUGCCAAGACGUUUGGUUUUUACGUUCCUGUAUUUUUUUCAUACUGUUUGGAUGUAGUACUCACUCGUAGUGGAAGUAAUAAUAUUUCUUUAAUAGUAAUGUCGCCAUUGGAUGUAUCUGUCGAAAGAGGAUACAAGUGUCAUGAAGUGAGGCUAUGUUUAUGUGGGCGGCCAUUAUUAAUAGAUCAUAUCUCUUGCCUUUUACUGUUGUUGUUCUAUCCAGGUCUUCGUUGUUGUUGUUGUUGCUGCUGCUGCUGUUGUUGUUGUUGUUGUUGUUGUUAUCGGCGUGGUAAAACCAUCAAGAGCGUCCGCCGCCUUUUCCGGAUGGCAGCAAGUUCCAUGUUUUAUUUAUUCUCGGCGCGAAAUGGACAAUCUCAGUGCUGCAGAAU